GACAGAGGUCCCGAGCGUUAGGCGGAAUCACUGGGCUUAAAGCGUGUGUAGGCGGACGCCUAAGUACCUUGUGAAAUCCCACGGCUCAACCGUGGAACUGCUCGGUAUACUGGGUGUCUUGAGCCACUUAGGGGCUACCGGAACAAAUGGUGGAGCGGUGAAAUGCGUAGAUAUCAUUUGGAACGCCAAUGGUGAAAACAGGUAGCUGGGAGUGUGCUGACGCUGAGACACGAAAGCCAGGGGAGCAAACGGG
rnacentral:rRNA from 1 species